UACAACAGUGCAGGUUUUGAUCACUUGGCUUGUAUUUCUAAAUAGGGGCUGCAAAAUUGACAUAAUCCCGAAAGAACAAUGACCUUUUUUGCUCAUGUGACGUGAACAAUGAGAUUCGCUUUUGGAAUAAUGUGCAUUCGUGUUUCUAAGGGAAGUUCAGCACAGGUGAGGUUCCUGCCAAGAAUUGGACAAUUUAUUGAUGCUGAGAGUGAUAGGCAGACACAUUCACUGCAGGGCACUCCACAGAGGUGCACUCUCUUUGUUGGGAUACAAAUGUGGCUUCGGUCAUUCAAGAGUAUGUCAGAGUGUCUCUGGAAAGUGCAUUCACGAGCUCAGUUCUA